ACGCUGGCGGCGUGCUUAACACAUGCAAGUCGAACGAUUAACCCAAACUUCGGUUUGGUUAUAAAGUGGCGAACGGGUGAGUAACACGUGACCAACCUGCCUUCUAGAUCGGGAUAACUCAAGGAAACUUGUGCUAAUACCGGAUACUCCGGAGCAAUCGCAUGGUAGCUUCGGGAAAGCUUUUGCGCUAGAAGAUGGGGUCGCGGCCUAUUAGGUAGUUGGUGGGGUAGAGGCCUACCAAGCCUGCGAUAGGUAGCCGGGUUGAGAGACUGAUCGGCCACAUUGGGACUGAGAUACGGCCCAGACUCCUACGGGAGGCAGCAGUGGGGAAUUUUGCGCAAUGGGGGCAACCCUGACGCAGCAACGCCGCGUGCGGGAUGAAGGUCUUCGGAUUGUAAACCGCUUUCAGUAGGGAAUAAGUAUGAAGGUACCUACAGAAGAAGCACCGGCUAAAUACGUGCCAGCAGCCGCGGUAAUACGUAUGGUGCAAGCGUUAUCCGGAAUCAUUGGGCGUAAAGCGCGCGUAGGCGGCUUGUUAAGCAGGAAUUUAAAUCUUAGGGCUCAACCUUAAGUCGGUUCCUGAACUGGCAGGCUCGAGUGCGGUAGAGGAAGGUGGAAUUCCCAGUGUAGCGGUGAAAUGCGCAGAUAUUGGGAAGAACACCGAUGGCGAAGGCAGCCUUCUGGGCCGCCACUGACGCUGAGGCGCGAAAGCUAGGGGAGCGAACAGGAUUAGAUACCCUGGUAGUCCUAGCCGUAAACGAUGGGCACUAGGUGUGGGGAGGAAUUCUCUCCGUGCCGCAGCUAACGCAUUAAGUGCCCCGCCUGGGGAGUACGGCCGCAAGGCUAAAACUCAAAG
rnacentral:rRNA from 1 species